UGGGGAAUAUUGGACAAUGGGCGCAAGCCUGAUCCAGCCAUGCCGCGUGAGUGAUGAAGGCCUUAGGGUUGUAAAGCUCUUUCAGCGGGGAAGAUAAUGACGGUACCCGCAGAAGAAGCCCCGGCUAACUUCGUGCCAGCAGCCGCGGUAAUACGAAGGGGGCUAGCGUUGUUCGGAAUUACUGGGCGUAAAGGGCGCGUAGGCGGACUGUUAAGUCAGGGGUGAAAUCCCGGGGCUCAACCCCGGAACUGCCUUUGAUACUGGCGGUCUUGAGUUCGGGAGAGGUGAGUGGAAUUCCGAGUGUAGAGGUGAAAUUCGUAGAUAUUCGGAGGAACACCAGUGGCGAAGGCGGCUCACUGGCCCGAUACUGACGCUGAGGCGCGAAAGCGUGGGGAGCAAACAGG
rnacentral:rRNA from 1 species